rnacentral:rRNA from 1 species
UACGGAGGGUGCGAGCGUUGUCCGGAAUCACUGGGCGUAAAGAGCUCGUAGGCGGUUUUGUCGCGUCUGCCGUGAAAGUCCGGGGGCUCAACUCCGGAUCUGCGGUGGGUACGGGCAGACUAGAGUGAUGUAGGGGGAGACUGGAAUUCCUGGUGUAGCGGUGAAAUGCGUAGAGAUCCGGAGGAACACCUGUGGCGAAGGGCGGCCCCCUGGGCCGCACCUGACGGCGAG